rnacentral:rRNA from 1 species
UACGUAGGGAGCAAGCGUUGUCCGGAAUCAUUGGGCGUAAAGCGCGCGUAGGCGGCCUCAUAAGUCCGUUGUGAAAGUCAAAGGCUCAACCUUUGAAAGCCGGUGGAUACUGUGAGGCUAGAGUACGGAAGAGGCGAGUGGAAUUCCUGGUGUAGCGGUGAAAUGCGCAGAUAUCAGGAGGAACACCAAUGGCGAAGGCAGCUCGCUGGGACGUGACUGACGCUGAGACGCGAAAGCGUGGGGAGCAAACAGG